AUCACCUGGGGAUCUUGUCAAAUGUAGAUUUUGAUUCAGCAGGUAUAAGGUGAUUCUACAUUUCUAACAAGCUCCUAGGUGAUGCUGA
rfam:Chlorocebus sabaeus isolate 1994-021 chromosome X, whole genome shotgun sequence.